ACCAAGCAGGCUGGGUUAGCCAGGCCCAGCAAAACCACUGUGCGGGAAGUCAAAGGAGUCGCAGGAGUUUCCAAUGGAGAGUUAUGGGGAAAGUCGACUUUAAGCUCCCAGGCGUGCAGCUAAGCACAAUGGAGUCAUUCAGAAUGCUCCCCGCCAGUCCGCGGUGCUUCGGAGGAUCACACCCGUCCUCAGAGGUGCAGGGGGUGUCGCUACCCAAAAUGUUACCCCCAAACAACAGCAUGCUUGUCGUCAAAAAAAAAUAAUCAUGCGACAGUUUCAAAAAGGCCUUGGUCAUACUACAGACUGCUGUGACCAAUUAUAUUUGGAAGGAAGCCGUCUUCGAGCUCUGUAAGGAGAUCUCCAUGAUCAGCAUGUACUCUCUUUACUGACCACGUGUAACGUUUGAUCUUUAGACAGUUUGGCCGAAGCACAUCUGAUCAGACAAAGCCAACCCAAAAGUCCUCAUUCGGCUCAGCAGGAAAUCGUGAAAAGCGCAAGCCGAUAACCUGUCCCUUCGCCGAUCCAAACCGGCCGAUAACCUGCCCCUUCGCCGAUCCAAACCGGCCGAUAACCUGCCCCUUCGCCGAUCCAAACCGGCCGAUAACCUGCCCCUUCGCCGAUCCAAACCGGCCGAUAACCUGCUCCUUCACCGAUCCAAACUGCCGACAGCAGCGAAGCAAAGGGAGGAGGGGGAACUCACUCACCACAGAUGCAGUCACAGGGCAGGAGCAAAGGAAGGGGGUAGGAAGUGGGUGCCUUAUAGGUUAACAUAUGGCCAAGUUUAGAAAAUAAGCAACAAGUGCGACAAAACGAAAACACCAGUGAUUAGCGACAGCCAUGACACACGCUGUCCCAGAGCCAGGGUCACCCUCCAGGUCUGUGGCGGGUUCACACUCUGUCCCAGACCCAGGGUCACCCUCCAGGUCUGUGGCGGGUUCACACUGUCCCAGACCCAAGCUUACCCAUGUGAAAAAGUUGUGCCAAUAUCUUUGGUCGUGGCCCCAAAACGGUGGUCUUACACCUCACUGUGAGAGGUUCAGAGGUGAAUGUUGUCGUGGUCUUGCAACCAAAAACAGGCUUGGACAGAUUUGUGACAAUGUUAUCAAUUCGGUAUUAGUAAGAGCUAUGUCUACUAACCAACUAACGCUGAUGGUAUAUUAUUCUUGUAUAUUGAUUUCAAAUUCAGUGAUAAGCAUUUCACUGCAGGUUGUACUAUGUAUGAUAAUGCAUGUGACAGAUUAAAUAUUGAUUUGC